GAAAUGCGAUAAGUAAUGUGAAUUGCAGAAUUCAGUGAAUCAUCGAAUCUUUGAACGCACAUUGCGCCCUCCAGAAUUCUGGCGGGCAUGCCUGUUCGAGCGUCAUUUCAACCCUCGAGCUCCCCUUUCGGGGGGAGCCCGGCGUUGGGGACCCGGCGCUAACAACGCCGGCCCCGAAAUGGAGUGGCGGCCCGUCCGCGGCGACCUCUGCGUAGUAACAACCACUCGCACCGGGACCCGGGCGCGGCCACGCCGUAAAACACCCCACCUUCCGAAUGUUGACCUCGAAUCAGGUAGGAAUACCCGCUGAACUUAAGC
rnacentral:misc_RNA from 1 species